rnacentral:rRNA from 1 species
AAAAAUACUUAACGACGGAUAUCUUGGUUCCCAUAUCGAUGAAGAACGCAGCGAAAUGCGAUAGGCAAAGCGAAUUGCAGAAUUCCACGAGUCUUCAGAUCUUUGAACGCAAUCGGCCCCGGCUUAUCCCCGGGAUGUUUGUCUCAGUGU